rnacentral:rRNA from 1 species
GUGGCUCUUGCUCAAUCGUGAGGAGACGUGGUGGAGCGACGCCGCGAGAGCGAUGGACCCCUUCGAGGUGUAAAGCUCUUUUGUCAGGUGCGGUUAAUGACUGUACGAGGAGAAGAAGCUGCGGCUAACUACGUGCACAGCAGCCGCUGUAAUGUGUAGGCAGCGAGCGUAAUAUGGGAGUUACUGGGUAUAAAGAGUGCACAGGCGGUUUUAAGACACAGGUGUGAAAUCUCCCGGGCUUAACCGGGAAAGUGCGUUUGAAACUGCAGAUCGAGAGUGGGGGAGAGGGGAGGGGAAUUCCGGGUGUAGCGGUGAAAUGUGUAGAUAUGGGGAAAAACACCGGGGGAGAAGACGGCCCCCUGGCCCCACACAGACGCUGACGCACGAAAGCGUGGGGAGCACACAGGAUUAGAUACCCUGGUAGUCCACCCCCUAAACGAUGCAAAAGGGUGUGGGAAGGUCAUUCUCAGUACCGAGCUAACGCGUAAGU